rnacentral:lncRNA from 1 species
ACGAGGUUAGGAUAAGUUUAAGCAUGAGGUUGAGGACGCGAAGGCGUUGGAAACGUGAAGGUGCAAUUCGCGCGUUGCUUGAGAGCGCGAUUUGCGGGAUUGACUGAAGGCGUGAGAAGCGUGAUUCGGGAGAGGAGACCAAGUCGCACAAGUUACCUCCAAAAGACCUAUGUGUAUAGCAUAUUCUAAGAAUAUAGUAGUUGAGUAAAGGUAAUUGCGAAAUGUAAAGUGUCUUCCGAGACACUAUAAAAGGGGAGCCCUUGAUGUAAACGGAUGCUCAUUUUUCAGAAUUGAACCACGAGUGCUUCUCUAACAUUGUUGUGUUCGAGUCUCCUUGAGAUUUGUUUCCCAACAUUGGCGCCCACUGUGUUCUAGUCACCAACCCAC